rnacentral:rRNA from 1 species
GUGGGGAAUUUUGGACAAUGGGCGCAAGCCUGAUCCAGCCAUGCCGCGUGAGUGAAGAAGGCCUUCGGGUUGUAAAGCUCUUUCGGCCGGGAAAAAAUCGCAAAGGCUAAUAUCCUUUGUGGAUGAUGGUACCGGAAUAAGAAGCACCGGCUAACUACGUGCCAGCAGCCGCGGUAAUACGUAGGGUGCGAGCGUUAAUCGGAAUUACUGGGCGUAAAGCGUGCGCAGGCGGUUUUGUAAGACAGGCGUGAAAUCCCCGGGCUCAACCUGGGAAUGGCGCUUGUGACUGCAAGACUAGAGUACGGCAGAGGGGGGUGGAAUUCCACGUGUAGCAGUGAAAUGCGUAGAGAUGUGGAGGAACACCAAUGGCGAAGGCAGCCCCCUGGGUCGAUACUGACGCUCAUGCACGAAAGCGUGGGGAGCAAACAGGAUUAGAAACCCCAGUAGUCC